AAGAUUAGUUUGUUUCACACUCGCUCGCUCACAGCAUAGCCUGGAAGUGCAAGGGAGGGGAGGUAACAAACUCAGCCAGAAGAGAGUGCACAGGCCAUUUUGCCCCAGUCACAUCAACUUGGAAGCGAGAGAGAGAAAGAAGGAUAGGGGGGCUUUAAAAUAAGGCAUAAAGACGAAACAAGAGAGGGAGGGAGAGAGAAAAAACUUGCGAAGGUCUUCAAAGAGAUCCUCAAACUCAUCAUUUGAAGAGAAGUGGAAGAACAACAUAGAAGGGUGACUGUUCAUCACCAACGAGGCACUGAGGUUGGCGGCCCUGUCCCCGAGGCGAGGAGAGACAGCCCCUGUGCGAACCCUGAAGUAAAGCCCCGCCUC